UACGUAGGGGGCUAGCGUUGUCCGGAUUUAUUGGGCGUAAAGAGCGUGUAGGCGGCCAGGUAGGUCUGCUGUGAAAACUCGAGGCUCAACCUCGAGACGCCGAUGGAAACCAUCUAACUAGAGUCCGGAAGAGGAGAGUGGAAUUCCUGGUGUAGCGGUGAAAUGCGCAGAUAUCAGGAAGAACACCCGUGGCUAAGGCGGCUCUCUAGUACGGUACUGACGCUGAGACGCGAAAGCGUGGGGAGCGAACAGG
rnacentral:rRNA from 1 species